UCCCUGGUGGCUCAGAAGGUAAAGCUUCUGCCUGCAAUGCAGAAGACCUGGGUUCGAUCCCUGGGCUGGGAA
rfam:TPA: Bos taurus chromosome X, whole genome shotgun sequence.